rnacentral:misc_RNA from 1 species
UGGGCUCAGGAAUUGUGGGAAUAGGUAAGAAAUGUUAUUGUACAUCUCAGAUUUUGGUGUGUUGCACUGGUGCAUGCCUUGUCAUUUUAUAGUGAUGGCUAAAGCCAUUUAGUAAGUCAGCAUAUGGUUUGAUAUUUCAAUUAGUUAUUUUAGAACCUUCAAGUUGGACUAGUGAUGUCUUCACUUUUUUUUUUCCCUUUUUAAAAUUGGGUGCUGUCAUUUUCUCAUUUAUUUUGUAAGAGAAGCUUCAACACUUCCUUUUACUGGUAAGAAGUGUCUUUUAUCUAUUGACAUAUGUAGUUUUAGUAGUAAAAUAUAACAUUCUUUAAAAUUUCUGCAGUUGUUAUGCUAACACAGUG